rnacentral:rRNA from 1 species
GACGAACGCUGGCGGCGUGCCUAAUACAUGCAAGUAGAACGCUGAAGGAGGAGCUUGCUUCUCCGGAUGAGUUGCGAACGGGUGAGUAACGCGUAGGUAACCUGCCUGGUAGCGGGGGAUAACUAUUGGAAACGAUAGCUAAUACCGCAUAACAGUAGAUGUUGCAUGACAUUUUCUUAAAAGGUGCAAUUGCAUCACUACCAGAUGGACCUGCGUUGUAUUAGCUAGUUGGUGAGGUAACGGCUCACCAAGGCGACGAUACAUAGCCGACCUGAGAGGGUGAUCGGCCACACUGGGACUGAGACACGGCCCAGACUCCUACGGGAGGCAGCAGUAGGGAAUCUUCGGCAAUGGACGGAAGUCUGACCGAGCAACGCCGCGUGAGUGAAGAAGGUUUUCGGAUCGUAAAGCUCUGUUGUAAGAGAAGAACGAGUGUGAGAGUGGAAAGUUCACACUGUGACGGUAUCUUACCAGAAAGGGACGGCUAACUACGUG